rnacentral:rRNA from 1 species
CUUGGUCAUUUAGAGGAAGUAAAAGUCAUAACAAGGUAGCGGUAGGUGAACCUGCAGAUGGAUCAUUAGUGAAUAACACGGGCGUCCCACUCCGUGGGCCCCAACCCCUUCACCAUAUCCACACACCCGUGCACCGCUAGUGACGGCCGAUACGCAAGUAUCUUGUCGCUGCUAGCAACCCUUUACACAUACACACAAAGUAAAUGAAUGUCACUGUACCUACGCAAGUAGAAACAAAAUACAACUUUUGACAACGGAUCUCUUGGUUCUCCCAUCGAUGAAGAACGCAGCGAAAUGCGAUAAGUAAUGUGAAUUGCAGAAUUCAGUGAAUCAUCGAAUCUUUGAACGCACCUUGCGCUCCUUGGUAUUCCGAGGAGCAUGCCUGUUUGAGUGUCAUGAAUUCUCAACCCUCGAUGCUUUAUUGCAUUGCUUGGGGUUGGUCCUUGGGUGCUUGCUGUUGUAUGACAGCUCACCUCAAAUGUAUUAGCUGGACCGUAUGUAACGCGUAGGUGUCCUCAACGUGAUAAAGUCAUUCGUUGAGGCGGCGGCUUCUGGCUGCCCCUGCCAUCUAUGUACACGCGUCUGCUUCUAACCCGGCGAACGACUACUUGUAGUCUGACCCAUGACUUAAAGCUCUGGCCUCAAAUCAGGUAGGAUUACCCGCUGAACUUAAGCAUAUCAAUAAGCGGAGGA